UGGCGGACGGGUGAGUAACGCGUGGGUAACCUGCCCUGUACAGGGGGAUAACAGUUGGAAACGGCUGCUAAAACCGCAUAACAUGGAGAUACCGCAUGAUAUUUCCAUCAAAUAUUUAUAGGUACAGGAUGGGCCCGCGUCUGAUUAGCCAGUUGGCGGGGUAAUGGCCUACCAAAGCGACGAUCAGUAGCCGGCUUGAGAGAGUGACCGGCCACAUUGGGACUGAGACACGGCCCAAACUCCUACGGGAGGCAGCAG
rnacentral:rRNA from 1 species